UAUUAGUACCAAAAUGGUACACGUCGCGCCAUCUAUUGGUCAACUGCGAUUUUGUACAUUGAGACGAGCUCACGCGAGAGCUGACGAACCGCGCAUGUCUCGCGCUAUACUCUAAUCGCCUAUUACGUAUAAUAUCAUAUUCCGUGUGUAGAGCCAGACUAUGCUGUACUGUACUAUACACCUUCUUCUUACCUGCAAGACUCCGAUGUGAGCAGACGUGCCGCCGACUAGGCUCUCAAGCCUUUUACAAUAUACUUAACAAUAAAUUAACCUCAAGUUGUUGUUUAUUGAUCCAACCCUUUUCAACAAAAAUAAUUAAAAUUACUAUAGGAAAAUCGAUGGAAAGCUACUAUAUGUCGCUGGAAUGGGAAGAGAUUUCCGAUUAGCAGCUUGAAAAAUUUCGAGAAAUUCAAUGAUGAUUUACGAGACAGAACAUACGCCUUUAAGUUUAAGUGAGUGAACUUUUGAGACUAAGAAGAGGAAAGGGCGAGCAUGUAAAUAUCCGCGAUAUGCUCACCUACAUAAUGAAGGACGAUAUUGCUCUCAAAUAUAAUUUUUGCGGGCACAGGAAUAAAAUAGCAUUUCAAAAUCAAAGGAUAUGGGAUAUAAUAUCAAACCUGGUGAUAAACUUUAAAUAGACUAUGCGUUAUGCUGACAAUACCUACAAAUGUUAACUUAAAGAAGCAACGAAACCUACUAAAAAAAGCAGAUUACAAUCAACUGAUUAUUAGCUUAUAAUCUGCUGAUAAUCAUGCCAAAACGUCAGCUGAUUAUCAGGUGAUAUCAGCUGAAUAUUUUUAUUAAAGCUGAUAGUUACAAAAAUGCGUUGGUAUAAAAUGAAAUAUUAAUGAUAAUUAGUUGAUUAUCAGGUGAUAAUCAUCAAUAAUUUUUAAGCUUUAGUAUACUUUUUCGCAGUAGUUUAAAAUUAAUAAAAUUUAUAAAAUUCAUAUAAUGAGGACCAGAUGACAACAAUAAAACAUUGGCUUUGAACUACAAAAUUUUAAUUUUUUAAUAAUUUUAUUUAAACAAAAAAUUGUUUAAAUAUUGAUAAAUAAAAAUUUUGCAGCUCACAGCUAGUGUUUUGGUGUUAUCAUCUGGAUAGUAAAAACGUUUUGGCCUUCAUUUUAUGAAUUUUAUAAAUUUUAUUACUUUCGAACAACUUUGAAAAAAUAUACUGAAAGUUAGAAAAUGUUCGAUGAUUAUCACCUGACAAUCAGCUGAUUAUCAUCUGAUAAGAAGCUUAUUUAUUAACUUAGGGUUUAUUUAGUUUUCUACACUAUAUCAAAACAAUAAAAUGAGCAAUUUUAUAAAAUUUCACUAGAAAUUGAAUGUAUACAUAUACCAUACAACAUAGUAAGAUUGGUCCAGAUAUGUCGGAUGCUGUAAAUAAUGUUCUUCUAAGAAAUUAUAGCAAAUAUGUUUAUUC